rnacentral:rRNA from 1 species
CGUCAAAUCAUCAUGCCCUUUAUGACUUGGGCUACACACGUAAUACAAUGGCCGUUAACAACGGGAAGCGAAGGAGCGAUCCGGAGCAAAACCCCAAAAACGGUCUCAGUUCGGAUCGCAGGCUGAAACCCGCCUGCGUGAAGUUGGAAUUGCUAGUAAUCGCGGAUCAUCAAGCCGCGGUGAAUACGUUCCCGGGCCUU